rnacentral:rRNA from 1 species
UACGGGGGGGGGCAAGCGUUGUUCGGAAUUACUGGGCGUAAAGGCUCGUAGGCGGCCAACUAAGUCGGACGUGAAAUCCCCAGGCUCAACCUGGGAACUGCGUCCGAUACUGGAUGGCUUGAAUCCGGGAGAGGGAUGCAGAAUUCCAGGUGUAGCGGUGAAAUGCGUAGAUAUCUGGAGGAAUACCGGUGGCGAAGGCGGCAUCCUGGACCGGCAUUGACGCUGAGGAGCGAAAGCCAGGGGAGCAAAGCGGG